rnacentral:rRNA from 1 species
GUAGGUGGCAAGCGUUGUCCGGGAAUUAUUGGGGCGUAAAGCGCGCGCAGGCGGUUCUUUAAGUCUGAUGUGAAAGCCCACGGGCUCAACCGUGGAGGGUCAUUGGAAACUGGAGAACUUGAGUACAGAAGAGGAAAGCGGAAUUCCACGUGUAGCGGUGAAAUGCGUAGAGAUGUGGAGGAACACCAGUGGCGAAGGCGGCUUUCUGGUCUGUAACUGACGCUGAGGCGCGAAAGCGUGGGGAGCAAACAGGAUUAGAUACCCUGGUAGUCCACGCCGUAAACGAUGAGUGCUAAGUGUUAGGGGGUUUCCGCCCCUUAGUGCUGCAGCUAACGCAUUUAGCACUCCGCCUGGGGAGUACGGCCGCAAAGGCUGA